AUUUUGCAUGAAAGGAGGGAAUGUUAGAUCUCCUCCAACAAGGAUGGAAGAAGCCCUUGAGCCCAUACAACACACACAUGGUUAUGAUAUUACCACCUACUUUGUGGCAUCUAACUAUGGGUUCUC